AGCAUACUCCCUCCGUUUCAUAAUUCUUGGCUCAAAUUUGCUCAAAAAUAGAUGUAUCUAUAUUCCUAAAAAGUGUCUAGAUACAUCUAAGAUUUCGACAAGAAUUAUGAAACGGAGCAAGUAUAAC
rfam:Brachypodium distachyon strain Bd21 chromosome 1, whole genome shotgun sequence.